GACGAACGCUGGCGGCGUGCCUAAUACAUGCAAGUUGAGCGCUGAAGGUUGGUGCUUGUACCAACUGGAUGAGCAGCGAACGGGUGAGUAACGCGUGGGGAAUCUGCCUUUGAGCGGGGGACAACAUUUGGAAACGAAUGCUAAUACCGCAUAAAAACUUUAAACACAAGUUUUAAGUUUGAAAGAUGCAAUUGCAUCACUCAAAGAUGAUCCCGCGUUGUAUUAACUAGUUGGUGAGGUAAAGGCUCACCAAGGCGAUGAUACAUAGCCGACCUGAGAGGGUGAUCGGCCACAUUGGGACUGAGACACGGCCCAAACUCCUACGGGAGGCAGCAGUAGGGAAUCUUCGGCAAUGGACGAAAGUCUGACCGAGCAACGCCGCGUGAGUGAAGAAGGUUUUCGGAUCGUAAAACUCUGUUGGUAGAGAAGAACGUUGGUGAGAGUGGAAAGCUCAUCAAGUGACGGUAACUACCCAGAAAGGGACGGCUAACUACGUG
rnacentral:rRNA from 1 species